AACGAACGCUGGCGGCGCGCCUAAUACAUGCAAGUCGAGCGAGAAGACGUAGCAAUACGUUUGUAAAGCGGCGAACGGGUGAGUAACACGUGGGUGACCUGCCUUUAGCUCUGGGAUAAGCCUGGGAAACUGGGUCUAAUACCGGAUAUGACCCUAUGGCGCAUGUUGUGGGGUGGAAAGCCUUGUGCGGCUAGGGAUGGGCCCGCGGCCUAUCAGCUUGUUGGUGGGGUGAUGGCCUACCAAGGCGACGACGGGUAGCCGGCCUGAGAGGGCGACCGGCCACACUGGGACUGAGACACGGCCCAGACUCCUACGGGAGGCAGCAGUGGGGAAUCUUGCGCAAUGGGCGAAAGCCUGACGCAGCGACGCCGCGUGAGGGAUGACGGCCU
rnacentral:rRNA from 1 species